rnacentral:rRNA from 1 species
UUCCGGAGCUAACGCGUUAAGUCGACCGCCUGGGGAGUACGGCCGCAAGGUUAAAACUCAAAUGAAUUGACGGGGGCCCGCACAAGCGGUGGAGCAUGUGGUUUAAUUCGAUGCAACGCGAAGAACCUUACCUACUCUUGACAUCCAGAGAACUUAGCAGAGAUGCUUUGGUGCCUUCGGGAACUCUGAGACAGGUGCUGCAUGGCUGUCGUCAGCUCGUGUUGUGAAAUGUUGGGUUAAGUCCCGCAACGAGCGCAACCCUUAUCCUUUGUUGCCAGCGGUNNGGCCGGGAACUCAAAGGAGACUGCCAGUGAUAAACUGGAGGAAGGUGGGGAUGACGUCAAGUCAUCAUGGCCCUUACGAGUAGGGCUACACACGUGCUACAAUGGCGCAUACAAAGAGAAGCGACCUCGCGAGAGCAAGCGGACCUCAUAAAGUGCGUCGUAGUCCGGAUUGGAGUCUGCAACUCGACUCCAUGAAGUCGGAAUCGCUAGUAAUCGUAGAUCAGAAUGCUACGGUGAAUACGUUCCCGGGCCUUGUACACACCGCCCGUCACACCAUGGGAGUGGGUUGCAAAAGAAGUAGGUAGCUUAACCUUCGGGAGGGCGCUUACCACUUUGUGAUUCAUGACUGGGGGUGAAGUC